CUUCAUCCUUACCGAAGCUGCAGCUGCUUCCACAGAGCUGCUGUGGUCGAAAAGGAGCCCAGAGUGACAGUUUUCCUUGAGGGUCGUCAUUCUGUUUUCUGUAACUGAUGUGCAACAUUGUGGGAAAAGACAGAA